rnacentral:tRNA from 1 species
GGGGUUGUGGCUCAGAGGAAAAGCGCUCACCUAGCAUGUGUGAGGCACUGAGUUCGAUCCCCAGCACCACA